GAGUGAAAUGAUGCUUUUAUCAUCUUUCGGGUCUGACCUGAAAUGAAGAAUUUUUUUGUUCUGAUCACUU